UUAACUUGUUAAUCAUAAAAAUUGCUCUCCAAAAAAGUAUACUGGAAAUAUCCGGAUGUAGGGUUAUAAUUAAAAAUGAAACCGAAACAUCCUUCCCUGAAAGAAGUGAAACUCUUAAUUCAAACUUAAGGAAUUUCCUAAUAAUGGAAGCGAAAAUGCUGGCAGGUAUAGAUAUUGAGAAUUCUUGGGAUCUGGAUAUUACCACUGACCAUCUGG
rnacentral:lncRNA from 1 species